GGGUUGUGAGGUUAAGCGACUAAGCGUACACGGUGGAUGCCCUGGCAGUCAGAGGCGAUGAAGGGCGUGCUAAUCUGCGAUAAGCGCCGGUAAGGUGAUAUGAACCGUUAUAACCGGCGAUACCCGAAUGGGGAAACCCAGUGUGACUCGUCACACUAUCAUUAACUGAAUCCAUAGGUUAAUGAGGCGAACCGGGGAACUGAAACAUCUAAGUACCCCGAGGAAAAGAAAUCAACCGAGAUUCCCCAGUAGCGGCGAGCGAAGGGGGAGGAGCCCAGAGCCUGAAUCAGCAUGUGUGUUAGUGGAAGCGUCUGGAAAGGCGCGCGAUACAGGGUGACAGCCCCGUACACAAAAGCGCAUGUGCUGUGAGCUCGAUGAGUAGGGCGGGACACGUGGUAUCCUGUCUGAAUAUGGGGGACCAUCCUCCAAGGCUAAAUACUCCUGACUGACCGAUAGUGAACCAGUACCGUGAGGGAAAGGCGAAAAGAACCCCGGCGAGGGGAGUGAAAAAGAACCUGAAACCGUGUACGUACAAGCAGUGGGAGCACAGGUUUACCUGUGUGACUGCGUACCUUUUGUAUAAUGGGUCAGCGACUUAUAUUCUGUAGCAAGGUUAACCGAAUAGGGGAGCCGGAGGGAAACCGAGUCUUAACCGGGCGUUAAGUUGCAGGGUAUAGACCCGAAACCCGGUGAUCUAGCCAUGGGCAGGUUGAAGGUUGGGUAACACUAACUGGAGGACCGAACCGACUAAUGUUGAAAAAUUAGCGGAUGACCUGUGGCUGGGGUGAAAGGCCAAUCAAACCGGGAGAUAGCUGGUUCUCCCCGAAAGCUAUUUAGGUAGCGCCUCGUGAAUUCAUCUCCGGGGGUAGAGCACUGUUUCGGCUAGGGGCCAUCCCGGCUUACCAACCCGAUGCAAACUGCGAAUACCGGAGAAUGUUAUCACGGGAGACACACGGCGGGUGCUAACGUCCGUCGUGAAGAGGGAAACAACCCAGACCGCCAGCUAAGGUCCCAAAGUCAUGGUUAAGUGGGAAACGAUGUGGGAAGGCCCAGACAGCCGGGAUGUUGGCUUAGAAGCAGCCAUCAUUUAAAGAAAGCGUAAUAGCUCACUGGUCGAGUCGGCCUGCGCGGAAGAUGUAACGGGGCUAAACCAUGCACCGAAGCUGCGGCAGCGACGCUGAUGCGUUGUUGGGUAGGGGAGCGUUCUGUAAGCCUGCGAAGGUGGCCUGUGAGGGUUGCUGGAGGUAUCAGAAGUGCGAAUGCUGACAUAAGUAACGAUAAAGCGGGUGAAAAGCCCGCUCGCCGGAAGACCAAGGGUUCCUGUCCAACGUUAAUCGGGGCAGGGUGAGUCGACCCCAAGGCGAGGCCGAAAGGCGUAGUCGAUGGGAAACGGGUUAAUAUUCCCGUACUUGGUGUUACUGCGAAGGGGGACGGAGAAGGCUAUGUUGGCCGGGCGACGGUUGUCCCGGUUUAAGCGUGUAGGCUGGUUUUCCGGCAAAUCCGGAAAAUCAAGGCUGAGGCGUGAUGACGAGGCACUACGGUGCUGAAGCAACAAAUGCCCUGCUUCCGGGAAAAGCCUCUAAGCAUCAGGUAACAUCAAAUCGUACCCCAAACCGACACAGGUGGUCAGGUAGAGAAUACCAAGGCGCUUGAGAGAACUCGGGUGAAGGAACUAGGCAAAAUGGUGCCGUAACUUCGGGAGAAGGCACGCUGACACGUAGGUGAAGUGAUUUACUCAUGGAGCUGAAGUCAGUCGAAGAUACCAGCUGGCUGCAACUGUUUAUUAAAAACACAGCACUGUGCAAACACGAAAGUGGACGUAUACGGUGUGACGCCUGCCCGGUGCCGGAAGGUUAAUUGAUGGGGUCAGCGCAAGCGAAGCUCCUGAUCGAAGCCCCGGUAAACGGCGGCCGUAACUAUAACGGUCCUAAGGUAGCGAAAUUCCUUGUCGGGUAAGUUCCGACCUGCACGAAUGGCGUAAUGAUGGCGGGCUGUCUCCACCCGAGACUCAGUGAAAUUGAACUCGCUGUGAAGAUGCAGUGUACCCGCGGCAAGACGGAAAGACCCCGUGAACCUUUACUAUAGCUUGACACUGAACAUUGAGCCUUGAUGUGUAGGAUAGGUGGGAGGCUUUGAAGUGUGGACGCCAGUCUGCAUGGAGCCGACCUUGAAAUACCACCCUUUAAUGUUUGAUGUUCUAACGUGGACCCGUUACCCGGGUUGCGGACAGUGUCUGGUGGGUAGUUUGACUGGGGCGGUCUCCUCCUAAAGAGUAACGGAGGAGCACGAAGGUUGGCUAAUCCCGGUCGGACAUCAGGAGGUUAGUGCAAUGGCAUAAGCCAGCCUGACUGCGAGCGUGACGGCGCGAGCAGGUGCGAAAGCAGGUCAUAGUGAUCCGGUGGUUCUGAAUGGAAGGGCCAUCGCUCAACGGAUAAAAGGUACUCCGGGGAUAACAGGCUGAUACCGCCCAAGAGUUCAUAUCGACGGCGGUGUUUGGCACCUCGAUGUCGGCUCAUCACAUCCUGGGGCUGAAGUAGGUCCCAAGGGUAUGGCUGUUCGCCAUUUAAAGUGGUACGCGAGCUGGGUUUAGAACGUCGUGAGACAGUUCGGUCCCUAUCUGCCGUGGGCGCUGGAGAACUGAGGGGGCUGCUCCUAGUACGAGAGGACCGGAGUGGACGCAUCACUGGUGUUCGGGUUGUCAUGCCAAUGGCACUGCCCGGUAGCUAAAUGCGGAAGAGAUAAGUGCUGAAAGCAUCUAAGCACGAAACUUGCCCCGAGAUGAGUUCUCCCUGAGACUUAGAGUCUCCUGAAGGAACGUUGAAGACGACGACGUUGAUAGGCCGGGUGUGUAAGCGCAGCGAUGCGUUGAGCUAACCGGUACUAAUGAACCGUGAGGCUUAACCUUACAACGCCGAAG
rnacentral:rRNA from 1 species